UCCUGUGUGGCUCAGUUGGUAGAGCAUGGUGUUUGCAACGCCAGGGUUGUGGGGUCGAUUCCCUCGGGGGAC
rnacentral:tRNA from 1 species